rnacentral:lncRNA from 1 species
AUUUUGACAAAAACAAAAUAAGAGUAGAUCUAGGUGUUGAAAAUAAGGGCAUGUGAACUACAUUAACUGUUAGCGGAAUAUGUGGUUAAGUGGAUAAAUGUCUAAGAUAAAUGUAAAUUAAUUCAAUUGAAGUAGAAGCAAAACCGGAGCCUAGCUAUCCCUCGGAGGGAUGGAAUUAUUCUACAUUUAGUACGUCAGGGACAUAUACAACGUAAAUAAAUGUAUAAUAUAUGUGUCUAAUUAAUGAUAUACGAGCUGUUAGUAAAAAUGUUAAAUAAAUUUCCUCUCUGAUCAUGUACGGUGUUCUAAAAAACAAAUAAUUUAAAUCGUAUGCUUUAAAAAAUACUGAUCAAUGAAAAAUUAAAAAUAAUAGAAAAUUAAAAAUAUAGACAAGAGGCAAGAACUAUUUGCUAGAACAGCGUUACAAUAAAUUAAUGGUUUAUAUAUCAGGUUAUAAAAGAGAAAUAUAUAAAAAAAAAAUCGAAAAAUUCCCAAUAAAUAAUUAUUAAUGGAAUGUAAUUGUGACAACUUUAUUCUUACACAUCGCGGAUCAAUUGCAACAAAAAUCCAUUGCUGUAUACAUUCUAAAUAAACGAGUUGAUUCUGAUUAAACAUGUGUAGCACAUUAUACAAACAAUGCAAUCAUUAAUAUUUACUAAACACACCAUAGGUAUCAUGUUACCUGUGAUCGGCUGCUGAGGAAAGUAUACCGUAAGGCUAUUUAUAGAUCAUAGCACAUAAGAUAUUACACAUCCGAAGUGCUUGUCUGGAUACACUGCUGUUCUUAGUGACCCCCCUCGGAACCAAAGAAAUUUUCGAUGCUUUGUUUAUUCGAUAGAUUCAGGAAAUAACCGGAGGGAUGGAAUUAUUCUUCUGGAGGUUUUAAAACAAUAGAUGAAAGGAAAGUACCGGUGUUAACGAUAGAUAUCUGAACGUGCAAUAUGGCGGAUACUGCUGAAGGGGGUUCAGAGCAGGA